rnacentral:lncRNA from 1 species
AGCAGGUCCUUGCUCGCUUUCCUCUCCCAGCUCCAUCUCAGAGCCUGCUAAACGCUCCUCCUGGCUUCACUGAGACUCUCCUUACAGUGCUUCCAAAAAUCUCGAUGAGCCUUUGCAUUUUAAGCAGACGCGAUUAUAUCAGAUCUCCCCGUCUUCCAGUGGCUCAGCUCUACCCAAGUUUGAUGAACUGAUCUCAGUUAGAGAAAUCCCAUCAGCUGUCGGCUUUGCUGAGACUCAGGCAAUGACAUCUCCCCGGUUUGCUCAGGUUUGAUGCGAAGGAGCCGCUCCUGCCACAAACCUUCAAGGCCAGUGAAUGAGGAAUGUUGGAACAACAUCUGGAGCGGCCCCCGGCUGAGGCACGUGGAGAGGCGGUGGCGGUGGGGACAGCUCGGAUUUCGGCACUCUCAUGACAAGCUCCACACGCGCACCAGCGUGGACACACUGGGUCCACGCACGCGCAUCUACACGCACGCGCCCAUGUGUGCGUACGUGUGGUCUGUGCGUGCACCUACAUGCUAUACGCAUGCACGCACACAUAUGCAGUCAUAGCCAUGACACCAGGACCAGGCCAAGGGCUCCCAGUUACGGGCUGGAGCUUGGGAAGGCCACAGCCGCAAGAAGGUCCCUGGAAUCCCUGUGCCCCCGUUCAAGCCAGUGAAAGCGAAGCAUGACCUACAGCAGCGGACAGUGGGAGCCCAGCUUCCCAGUCCCUCCCCUGGGGGACAAGGUUCUGCUGCCCCCCACCUGCCCCUGCCCUGCCCCCUCCGCAGGCCUGGUCUUGCCCUAGCACAUGUCACAGCCAUCCCUCUCAUGGAGCAGUCUCCCUCUCUGUUCCCAGGAGCCCGCGCACCGCAGCCCCCGCGCCUCGUCGAGACUGGUGCACAGGAGAGAGUCACCUCCCCCUGCUCCCUGGAUAAUCCUUUCCCCAGUUGCUGAGUGAGAAGGUCCACUAGACAGCAGCAUCUGAGGGUCCAGCCUACACAGACACUCUCUGCCCAGCCCAGCCCCCCUGAGGCCCAGGGGCCUGUCUGCACGGAACUGUGGGGCUGUGUUGCACACGUACGUGCCCGGGGCGUCUGCACCUGUGUCCUCACGCUCACGUGGCUGCCUCUGCAUGGCGAUGAGUGCCUGCAUACCUCUCUGCAUAUAUCUGUGAGCGUCUGUGACUCUGUAUAUGUAUCUGUUAUCUGCCUUUAGAAGUGUGUGUGUUUAUAUGUCUGUGCUUGUGUGUUUCUGGGUCAUCGCGUGUCCUUGUGUCUGGAGGCGUUCUUAGACUUUGUGUGAACCCACAAAGUUAUAGAUGUUGGCGUAUGUCUCUGUGUGUGUGUCUCUGGGCUUUUAUACAUAUGUCAGGGUGUCUGUGGGUGUGUUUGUGCAAGAGAGAGCAUGGCUAUAUAUAUAUCAGCGUGUAUGUGACAGAGAGCUAGAGAAAGAGAGCCCGUGGCUGCGUGUGGGUAUGUGUCUAUCUGCCAGGGAGGGGCAGGGCAGCCGGGGUGAAGGCAUGGAGCCCAACGCAGGGCUUGAACCCAUGAACCAUGAGAUCACAACCUGAGUCAGAACGGAGAGUCAGAUGCUUAACCUACUGAGCCACCCAGGUGCCCCAAGCGUACGAUUUUUAAAAGCAGGAUGUUAUAAGGAUGCAAGGGUGUCUCGUGAAGCCCGAGGGCAGGCCCAGAGCCCAACCGCAGAAGGACUGCAAAGCUGAUAGGAACCCAGAACCUUCUCUCUUUGUCAUCUUCUCUGUAUCUCCACUUCCUUCUUCUCUUUCAGCUUCUCCAUGCACAUGGCUAACCACAGAUGGCUACCCCACCCCUCCUGAGCUUAAAGUGCCUCAGUUCCAAAGACCAGCCCGGACUGACCAGCAUCAAUCCCUUCUAAGACCUGGAAAGAGAACAUCUGAGAGGCCAAGCUAGUGUCAAUUGUCCACCUCUGGUCUAAUCAGCAAUGGCUUAGGGCGGAGUCACCUAGAAACCUGGUUGCCAAUACCCCUUGGGUAUGCCCAGCCGUCCCCAGAUUAAAGGUCUAAGGGAAGAAGUUCGGUGCCAGGCCAGGCGAGUGAGGUACCCAAUCAGCCAGCUAAGGAGUCCUGCUGGCACCUGGAUGUACAGACCUGCAACUUAAGAAUGCAGAUGGGGCACCUGGGUGGCACAGUCGGUUAAGCGUCCGACUUCAGCCAGGUCACGAUCUCGAGGUCCGUGAGUUCGAGCCCCGUGUCGGGCUCUGGGCUGAUGGCUCGGAGCCUGGAGCCUGUUUCCGAUCCUGUGUCUCCCUCUCUCUCUGCCCCUCCCCCGUUCAUGCUCUGUCUCUCUCUGUCCCAAAAAUAAAUAAAAAACGUUGAAAAAAAAAAUAAAAAAA